rnacentral:pre_miRNA from 1 species
AGUGGAAUUGCUGGGUUAGAUGGUGAGUUUGACUUUUUAAGAAAUUGCCAAACUGCUUUCCAAAAUGGCUGUACCAUUUCCUGUUUCCACCAGCAAU